ACUUAAGUAGUUUAAAUUAGAAUAACAAUUUGUGGUAUUGUAGGAAUUAUUUUUAAUCUUAGGUU
rnacentral:tRNA from 1 species